rnacentral:hammerhead_ribozyme from 1 species
AUCCAGCUGACGAGUCCCAAGUAGAACGAAAUACGCAUCCUGGAU